GACAGAAACUAAAAACCGUGAGUUCAGGCAGCUAGAAACCUAAAAUAAAAGAAAACGGAACAACAACAACAACAACGAAAAUAAGGUGGGUUGGAUAAGCUUCGAAAUGGUUACUGCUUAUGCAAAGGUGCAGGCCCCAGAUCUUUCCUUUUACUUGGGAGAAAACAGACGCCAUUCAGUGAAAGUCAACAUAUCCUUACUGGACACUUAUUCUGUGAGGCACUCUGGGAGAUAGAAAUGCUAUUAUGGUCAGUAAAUCUAGAGAGGAAAAAAGACAAGAAAACAACUAUACCAAAAUUGGCUACGAAUCAGGUGCAAGGGCACAUAAAAGAAGCAGCAAUUAUUUCUGAUCAAAGGAUUAGAGAAGAAUGUGCACAGAAGGUGACACAGAAACUCAGCUUAGAAAAAUGUAUAUUUGCGGGGAGAUAAAGGGGAAGGUAUUACAAUGUGAGGCUGUAUAAGAUUCCAAAGCACAGAGAUAUGAAUGUGAAAGGCUUAAUUUGAGAAAGACAAAAUGUUCAUAGUGACUGAAACUUGUUAGCAGAACUUGCAUAGUGCUAGCUCUAAAGAGAAGUUUGGGCUCGGUUUAGAGGGACUUUGGCUGCCAUACUAGGGAGUUUGGAUUCCAUUCUACAGUGUGGAGGAAGAUUUUUUAAAAGCACCAUUUAGUAAACACUGUGGUUGCCUCCUCAACAUCUAUUCCCUACACUACCCCUAUUGUCCUUUCUAACCAAAUCCAUUUUUUUUUUAAAUCAGAUAAUCCACCUCUCCUUUAUGAGAUUCAGGGGACAAUGAAUUCAUCUCCAUUUCCAAGGAUAGAUCUGUAUUAGCUUAAAUCAGGCAGGCUAACUCAUACUUCUUGUGCUUCCAUGACAGACUCUUUCUGGGUUAUACGUAAUAAAUAUACAUAAACAAUAUUAUACUUCAUUGUCCAGCAUAUACAAGAGGCAAACACAAAUCAGAAAUAUUAUCUUUACCAGUGGUACAUGAGUCCAUUUUUUGUCAAAUAGAGAGCAAUUGCUGCAGUAAUUGCAGUUUAUCACUAAGCCAGAUGCAGGGGUUACUCAUACAUAUGCCUUCUAAUUGUGGGCUACUAUUAAUAGUCACUGGCCUCCUUCUUAAAUUAUUUUCAGUCAUGAGCUUAACUUAAUGUGGUACCAUAUAUUCUUUCUUUUAAGGACCUUAAGAAUCUGGGAAGAAUUAGCCACACUCUAAUUUAGGAACAGAGAUGGAUGAAUCCACCUAUGGACAUUUACUGGUAUGAGUCACUGGGGAAGUUCACUAAGUCACUAUUUAAGAUGAUCCAGAACAGGUGUCUACAGCUGCCUUAAGAAUGAGUACUAUGGUGGUGAUGAAAAUGUUCCUCUCAGAUGUCCAACUGCAGGGGGUGGGUAUGAAAUUGCCAGAUGGCCCCAGCUGGUGUGCUCUGGAAUCCUUGGCGCCAAGGCCAUGCUGCCAGGGGCUUCUCCAGGCUGGUGAUCAAAUGUAGUGAGGAUCCUCAGGCAGGCCCAUUCCUGGAAGACAUGGGACUCUCCCGAUAGGUCGGCUCCAAGGCUACACAAGCAGCAAGAAGAAAAGGAAAAACUCUGUUUUAUUAAAGCUCCACUUGCCUAUCUACCUUGGUGGAGGGUCAAGAAAAGGUUUAUAACCUAUUUGCAGGUUUUAGGCUCCUGUUUGCAGCACAGAAACCACAGACAAUAGAAAUUCAGACUCAGUGGUGUGGCAGAAGAUAAAAUAAUUUGGGUUAUUUCUGUGAUAACAUGGGCAAUCUGGAAACUACUCCCAUUUGUGAGGGUAAAUCUCUAUUAUGAUACAUGGAAAAUAGGACAGAUGCUAAUUCAGGUAAGAAAAGGUCUUUGUAUUAUACAAAUAUUUACCUUCAGACAGAAAUGUUAAUGAAGAUGGAGAAGGAACAGUUACCAAGAAACUAGGGAUAGUAGGACACAAAAAACCUGGUAACCUGGUAGUGAGUAUGAACCAGUCUGGUGCCUUGCCUCCAGAGGAGCAGCAACUGAGCAGAGCUACUGGACAACCAGCCCUGCACUUCCCUAGAGCACAGACCAGCUCACUAUGCAGCCACCAAGAGAUAAGCACCGAAGGAGAACCUACCAGCCAUGGAUCCUCAGAAAACAGACCAGCUAAGUGCCCAGCCUUCAGGGGACAAGCAGCUGAGUGGGCAUACCAGCCACACAAACUUCUGCAGCCAAGGCCACUGAGGUACUUGCAGGCACCACUGACAUUAACUACAGCUAAAGAAGCUGCAUGGAGACUACACUACUGCAUCCACCCAGAACAAAAACAAAUGUACCUUACCCAACCAACAUGCUAGGACACAUCUGCAGGUGUAAGUCUUUUCCGCUGAAAGUUAUGCUACCAAGUUAGAAAAGGUGAUUAUUCCAUCAGAUGCACAGAUGCCAGUGCAGGGAUACAAGAAACAUAAAAAAGCAAGGGAACAUGACACCACCAAAGAAACACAAUAAUUCUCUAGUAACUGACCCCAAUAAAAAAAUAAAAAUUUAUGAAUUGCCUGAAAAGGAAUUCAAGAUAGUGAGCCUAAGGAAACUUGGUGAGACAUGAAAGAACACAAACGGAUCAUUCAACAAUCGGGAAAAACAGUUCAUGAUCUGAAUGAGAAAUUCAACAAAGAGAGAGAUAUCAUAAAAAAGAACAAAAUAGAAAUCUUGGGGCCAAGAAAUUCAAUGAAUGAAAUAAAAAAACGCAAUUGAGAGCUUCAACAGCAAAAUAGAUCAAACAGAAGAAUUUUUGAACUUGAAAACAGGCCUUUUGAAAUAGUCCAGUCAGAGGUAAA